AGCGAACGCUGGCGGCAGGCCUAACACAUGCAAGUCGAACGAACCUUUCGGGGUUAGUGGCGGACGGGUAAGUAACACGUGGGAACGUGCCUUUAGGUUCGGAAUAACUCAGGGAAACUUGUGCUAAUACCGAAUGUGCCCUUCGGGGGAAAGAUUAAUCGCCUUUAGAGCGGCCCGCGUCUGAUUAGCUAGUUGGUUGAGGUAAUGGCUCACCAAGGCGACGAUCAGUAGCUGGUCUGAGAGGAUGAUCAGCCACAUUGGGACUGAGACACGGCCCAAACUCCUACGGGAGGCAGCAGUGGGGAAUCUUGCGCAAUGGGCGAAAGCCUGACGCAGCCAUGCCGCGUGAAUGAUGAAGGUCUUAGGAUUGUAAAAUUCUUUCACCGGGGACGAUAAUGACGGUACCCGGAGAAGAAGCCCCGGCUAACUUCGUG
rnacentral:rRNA from 1 species